rnacentral:rRNA from 1 species
UACAGGGGGGGCAAGCGUUGUUCGGAAUUACUGGGCGUAAAGGGUUCGUAGGUGGCUUACUAAGUCAAACGUGAAAUCCCUCAGCUUAACUGGGGAACUGCGUCUGAUACUGGAAAGCUUGAGUGCAGGAGAGGAACGCGGAAUUCCAGGUGUAGCGGUGAAAUGCGUAGAUAUCAGGAAGAACACCUAUGGCGAAGGCAGCUCUCUGGGACGGUACUGACGCUGAGACGCGAAAGCGUGGGGAGCGAACAGG